ensembl:lncRNA
GAGAUGGAGUCCAGAGAUGGCCAUAAGAAGAUGACUUCAAGGCUUGCUACUGGCUUCCAGGGUCUUCCUUUCUCCAGAGAUAGUCUCGUGGCUGGCAGUGGACUUAAAAAAAGGAUGUUUGGGCAGACAAAUAAGACCCAAAGGACAGAGGAGACUACCAGUACCGGGAAUCAAACACAGGACCUUGCGCUUGUGCGGCAGGUGACAGAACCACUGAGCUAAAUCCCCGGCCCUAGUUUACUUGCAUCUCUCCUUCACUGCACAUCCAGGUCUCCUCUGCUGAUCUGUGG